GACCCGCUAGCUCAGUCGGUAGAGCACAUGACUUUUAAUCAUGGGGUCAGGAGUUCGAAUCUCCUGCGGGUCACCA
rnacentral:tRNA from 1 species